GCUUUAGGUGCAUGCAGAGGAGCGGUUUGCCUCUUAAAAAGCCGCAUUUAAAUAGUCGCAAACGACGAAAACUACGCUCUAGCCGCUUAAUAACCGGCUAAGCCCUUCCACUCAUACUCUUUCUGCUAGUAGAGGUUCGGAAGGUCAUCCCAGCAGAAUAGCGAGGGAACCUUGUCUAAGGGUGAACCGCGAAACAGUAUUAGGCCCGCUA
rnacentral:tmRNA from 14 species